CGGACGGGUGAGUAACGCGUGAGAAUCUGCCUUCAGGUUCGGGACAACCACUGGAAACGGUGGCUAAUACCGAAUGUGCAGAAAUGUGAAAUAUUUAUAGCCUGAAGAUGAGCUCGCGUCUGAUUAGCUAGUAGGUGUGGUAAGAGCGCACCUAGGCGACGAUCAGUAGCUGGUCUGAGAGGAUGAUCAGCCACACUGGGACUGAGACACGGCCCAGACUCCUACGGGAGGCAGCAGUGGGGAAUUUUCCGCAAUGGGCGAAAGCCUGACGGAGCAAUACCGCGUGAGGGAGGAAGGCUCUUGGGUUGUAAACCUCUUUUCUCAAGGAAGAAAUUUUGACGGUACUUGAGGAAUAAGCAUCGACUAACUCCGUGCCAGCAGCCGCGGUAAUACGGAGGAUGCAAGCGUUAUCCGGAAUGAUUGGGCGUAAAGCGUCCGCAGGUGGCUGUGUAAGUCUGCUGUUAAAUAGUGAGGCUCAACCUCGUAAAGGCAAUGGAAACUACAUGGCUAGAGUGCGUUCGGGGCAGAGGGAAUUCCUGGUGUAGCGGUGAAAUGCGUAGAGAUCAGGAAGAACACCGGUGGCGAAAGCGCUCUGCUAGGCCGCAACUGACACUGAGGGACGAAAGCUAGGGGAGCGAAUGGGAUUAGAUACCCCAGUAGUC
rnacentral:rRNA from 1 species